rnacentral:ncRNA from 1 species
GAUGUUUUAUUUUAGCAUAAAAAUUUGUUUAUAAUUUAUUUUACAUGUAAAUUUUUGUAUGAUUUAUAAAUUAUUUAAAUAAUAAUUUAUUAAUAAUUUAUUCGCAGUGAUUAAUAUUAAUUAUUAAAGAGAUUUAGAAUUAGAAAUAUUAUUUAAUAUUAGCAAAAUUUGUGCCAGCUGCUGCGGUUAGACAAAAAAUAUAAAUGAAUUAGAUUAGAUUAUAAUUAAAUUAUUAAUUAAAUAAAUUAAUAUAAUAAAAUUGAAUUUAUUAGGUGAAAUUUUAAAUUUAAAAAAUUAUAUAAUUAAGAUAUUGAAAUUAUGAAAUUUUAAUAAUAAACUAGGAUUAGAUACCCUAUUAUUUAAAAUGUAAAUAAAUAAUCUUGAAUAGUAUUAGUUAUGUUCUUGAAAUUUAAAAAAUUUGGCGGUAUUUUAGUCUAUUCAGAGGAACCUGUUUUAUAAUUGAUAAUCCACGUUGGACCUUACUUAAUUUUGUUUAGUUUGUAUACCGCCGUCGUCAGAAUGUCUUAAAAAAGAAAUAAUUUUCUAAAAUUUUUAAUAUAAAUUAUGUCAGGUCAAGGUGCAGCUUAUAAUUAAGUAAAAAUGGGUUACAAUAAAUUUAUUUUUGGAUAAAAAAUUGAAAUUUUUUUUUGAAAUUGGAUUUGAUUGUAAAAUAAUAAAGAAAAAUUAUUUGAUUUUAGCUCUAAAAUAUGUACAUAUCGCCCGUCGCUCUCGUUAUUAAGAUGAGAUAAGUCGUAACAUAGUAGGUGUACCGGAAGGUGUAUCUAGAAUGA